rnacentral:tRNA from 2 species
GCGCCUAUAGCUCAGUUGGUAGAGUAGCGGACUUUUAAUCCGUGGGUCGAUGGUUCGAGUCCAUCUGGGCGCACCA